rnacentral:rRNA from 1 species
CAAAUUUGAAAUCUGGCGCAAGCCCGAGUUGUAAUUUGCAGAGGAUGUUUCGGGUGAAGCCACGGUCCAAGUCCCUUGGAACAGGACGUCAUAGAGGGUGAGAACCCCGUACCUGGCCGUCGGUGCCCCCCGCUGUGAAACUCCUUCGACGAGUCGAGUUGUUUGGGAAUGCAGCUCUAAAUUGGUGGUAAAUUCCAUCUAAAGCUAAAUACCGGCCAGAGACCGAUAGCGCACAAGUAGAGUGAUCGAAAGAUGAAAAGCACUUUGAAAAGAGAGUUAAAAAGUACGUGAAAUUGUUGAAAGGGAAGCGCUUGCGGCCAGACUUGCCCGCGGUUGCUCAGCCCGCCUUUUGGCGGGUGCACUCUUCCGCGGUCAGGCCAGCAUCGGUUUGGGCGGUCGGAUAAAGGCGUCGGGAACGUGGCCUCCCCUCGGGGAGGUGUUAUAGCCCGGCGCGCAAUGCGGCCAGCCCGGACCGAGGUUCGCGCUUUGCUAGGAUGCUGGCGUAAUGGCCGUAAGCGGCCCGUCUUGAAACACGGACCAAGGAGUCUAACAUCUAUGCGAGUGUUUGGGUGUCAAACCCGUGCGCGUAAUGAAAGUGAACGGAGGUGGGAACCGCAAGGUGCACCAUCGACCGAUCCUGAUGUCUUCGGAAGGAUUUGAGUAAGAGCAUAGCUGUUGGGACCCGAAAGAUGGUGAACUAUGCGUGAAUAGGGUGAAGCCAGAGGAAACUCUGGUGGAGGCUCGCAGCGGUUCUGACGUGCAAAUCGAUCGUCAA